rnacentral:rRNA from 1 species
AGUGAACGCUGGCGGUAGGCCUAACACAUGCAAGUCGAACGGCAGCACAGUAAGAGCUUGCUCUUACGGGUGGCGAGUGGCGGACGGGUGAGGAAUACAUCGGAAUCUACUUUUUCGUGGGGGAUAACGUAGGGAAACUUACGCUAAUACCGCAUACGACCUACGGGUGAAAGCAGGGGAUCUUCGGACCUUGCGCGAUUGAAUGAGCCGAUGUCGGAUUAGCUAGUUGGCGGGGUAAAGGCCCACCAAGGCGACGAUCCGUAGCUGGUCUGAGAGGAUGAUGAGCCACACUGGAACUGAGACACGGUCCAGACUCCUACGGGAGGCAGCAGUGGGGAAUAUUGGAAAAUGGGCGCAAGCCUGAUCCAGCCAUACCGCGUGGGUGAAGAAGGCCUUCGGGUUGUAAAGCCCUUUUGUUGGGAAAGAAAAGCAGCAGGUUAAUACCCCGCUGUUCUGACGGUACCCAAAGAAUAAGCACCGGCUAACUUCGU